UACGGAGGGUGCGAGCGUUACUCGGAAUUACUGGGCGUAAAGCGUGCGCAGGCGGUUUUGUAAGCCAGAUGUGAAAUCCCCGGGCUUAACCUGGGAAUGGCAUUUGGGACUGCAAGGCUGGAGUGUGGCAGAGGAGACUGGAAUUCCUGGUGUAGCAGUGAAAUGCGUAGAUAUCAGGAGGAAUACCGAUGGCGAAGGCAGGUCUCUGGGCUGACACUGACGCUCAUGCACGAAAGCGUGGGGAGCAAACAGG
rnacentral:rRNA from 1 species